rnacentral:rRNA from 1 species
UGGGGAAUAUUGGACAAUGGGCGGAAGCCUGAUCCAGCAACGCCGCGUGAGGGAUGACGGCCUUCGGGUUGUAAACCUCUUUCAGCACAGACGAAGCGCCUGUGAGGGUGGUGACGGUAUGUGCAGAAGAAGCACCGGCCAACUACGUGCCAGCAGCCGCGGUAAUACGUAGGGUGCGAGCGUUGUCCGGAAUUAUUGGGCGUAAAGGGCUCGUAGGCGGUUUGUCGCGUCGGGAGUGAAAUCCACUGGCUUAACUGGUGGCUUGCUUUCGAUACGGGCAGACUGGAGGUAUGCAGGGGAGAACGGAAUUCCUGGUGUAGCGGUGAAAUGCGCAGAUAUCAGGAGGAACACCGGUGGCGAAGGCGGUUCUCUGGGCAUGUCCUGACGCUGAGGAGCGAAAGUGUGGGGAGCGAACA